UAAUACAGAGGCCUCGAGCGUUAGGCGGAAUCACUGGGCUUAAAGCGUGUGUAGGCGGAUGUCUAAGUACCUUGUGAAAUCCCACGGCUUAACCGUGGAACGGCUUGGUAUACUGGAUGUCUUGAGCCAACUAGGGGCUACCGGAACAAAUGGUGGAGCGGUGAAAUGCGUAGAUAUCAUUUGGAACGCCAACGGUGAAAACAGGUAGCUGGGGUUGCGCUGACGCUGAGACACGAAAGCCAGGGGAGCGAACGGGAUUAGAUACCCCGGUAGUCCUGGCCGUAAACGAUGUCCACUAGAUCGCAGUCCCUUGACGGGGUUGCGGUCGCAGCAAAAGUGCUAAGUGGACCGCCUGGGAAGUACGGUCGCAAGGCUA
rnacentral:rRNA from 1 species